rnacentral:rRNA from 1 species
GAUGAACGCUGGCGGCGUGCUUAACACAUGCAAGUCGAACGGAAAGGCCUCUGCUUGCAGGGGUACUCGAGUGGCGAACGGGUGAGUAACACGUGGGUGAUCUGCCCUGCACUUCGGGAUAAGCCUGGGAAACUGGGUCUAAUACCGGAUAGGACAAUGGUUUGGAUGCUGUUGUGGAAAGUUUUUCGGUGUGGGAUGAGCUCGCGGCCUAUCAGCUUGUUGGUGGGGUAAUGGCCUACCAAGGCGUCGACGGGUAGCCGGCCUGAGAGGGUGUACGGCCACAUUGGGACUGAGAGACGGCCCAGACUCCGACGGGAGGCAGCAGUGGGGAAUAUUGCACAAUGGGCGCAAGCCUGAUGCAGCGACGCCGCGUGGGGGAUGACGGCCUUCGGGUUGUAAACUCCUUUCGCUAGGGACGAAGCGUUUUUGUGACGGUACCUGGAGAAGAAGCACCGGCUAACUACGUG